UAGUAACUUCUUCGGACAAUAGUACAAGGUGCUGCGAUGGUUGUCGUCAGCUCGUGCGUGAGUGUCGGGUUAAGUCCCGUAACGAGCGCAACCCUUGUCCUUAGUUACCAGCACGUUAUGGUGGGCACUCUAAGGAGACUGCCGGUGACAAACCGGAGGAAGGUGGGGAUGACGUCAAGUCAUCAUGGCCCUUACGGCCUGGGCUACACACGUGCUACAAUGGUCGGUACAAAGGGUUGCCAAGCCGCGAGGUGGAGCUAAUCCCAUAAAACCGAUCGUAGUCCGGAUCGCAGUCUGCAACUCGACUGCGUGAAGUCGGAAUCGCUAGUAAUCGUGAAUCAGAAUGUCACGGUGAAUACGUUCCCGGGCCUU
rnacentral:rRNA from 1 species